AUUAGAAUACGAAGAAUUAUAAUAAUGCAGAAAUAUUUAAAUUCAUAAUAAUUUUGGUGUUUAAAUAUAUUGAUAAACAUUCGUAAUAAUAAUAAUAAUAAUAAUAAUCCAUUUUAAAUAUAUCUUGUUCUAAAAUAAGAUUUAAUUGUCUAUAUUAUUAAUGUCUAUAUUAAUGUUAUUUAACUAUAUUACGUGGAAAUCGACAAUGUGGAAUUUGUAAUGGUCUAAUCUCGUGAUUUGUCUUGUAAAAACAAAUUCUAUGACGCAGUGUUUAAAGAAUCAUGUGGAUAAAGAAAAUUCAUCAAUUCCGAAGCACACGUAACCUUAUUACGGGCACGAUUGCCUUAAUUUUUUUCUGUAGAAGAUAAAAUCGAGAUAAAGGUCGAAAGGUCCGUGGAUUUGUUCAAUUGUCAUUAAUAAAUGCAAAAAUUUGUAAUGUAAUGUCAUCUCGUGUUUCAUUAGAAUCCAUUGCAUGCAUUGAAUCCAUAGAAUCCAUAGAAUGCAUUGUAUUUUCUUGUAAAAGUGGUGAAGAAAGUUUUGACUCUAGUGUUCUUAAAUGUCGUGAAAAAAUUCAUCCAAUAUGCCUGUCACUGCACACUGUCAGAAUACACAGGCAGCCUUAAAAUGUUAUGCAGAAGCAUGACUUUACAGCUAUUCAAUUCUAUCAUUUUUAAAUGUAAGUAAUGAAACGGAACAAGAAAUUUGAUUGGAUUAGAUAUAGGAAUACUUUUGGUCCUUCGGUAAAACAUAAUAUCUGAAAAUAUAAUGGCAAUAAAAUACUAAGCUUGGAUUAAAUGUCCAUCAGGUUAAAAUAUUCAUUUUUCUUUUUUCAUUAGAAAAUUAAAACAAACAGAAUCAAACAUUGUUAUUUUUGUUAUUCUUCUAUGAUUAUAAUCUUUAUAAUUUAAUAUUUAAUUACAAACAUAUUUGCGUACAUUUUUAUGCUUUUUAUGUUUCAUUUGUGCAUUUUCCAAAUAAGAUACAAGAAGAAGAAUUUAGUUGUGAAUAUUAAUUUAGAUGAAAAUGAUUUAAGUAUAUGAAAAGAACAUUAAUAUCAAUGUAUCAUGUAACAAGAUGAACGAGAUAAAAUAAAUCAAAUGAAUUUUAAUUAAUAAAUAAUGAAGAAAAACUUUUCAUUUAAUGUAAUCAUAAAUUGCCCAUGACCAAUUAUUUUAUCUUUUAGAUUAUUUGAAUUAACAAGAACAUUAAUAUUUUUUGUAUUUUUGUAUUUUUUUUUUUUUUUUUUUGACUUUUUUUCAUACAUCAAUUUUCCCAAAUAUGAAAUUGGAAUUGAUAUAUUAUGACCACCAAAAAAUAUUAAAUUUUUUAAUUCAAUAGAAAUUCCAUUAUUAAAUUCAUUUACUUUAGUUUCUCCAGGUAAGAUUUACAGUAACAUUAAGUCAUUAUUAUUUAAUUAUUAAUAAAUUAAAAUAUAGAAAAUUUUAUUUAACA